rnacentral:rRNA from 1 species
GACGAACGCUGGCGGCGUGCUUAACACAUGCAAGUCGAACGGAAAGGCCCUGCUUUUGUGGGGUGCUCGAGUGGCGAACGGGUGCGUAACACGUGAGUAACCUGCCCUUGACUUUGGGAUAACUUCAGGAAACUGGGGCUACUACCGUAUAGGAGCUCCUGCUGCAUGGUGGGGGUUGGAACGUUUCGGCGGUUGGGGAUGGACUCGCGGCUUAUCAGCUUGUUGGUGGGGUAGUGGCUUACCAAGGCUUUGACGGGUAGCCGGCCUGUGAGGGGGACCGGGCACAUUGGGACUGAGGUACGGCCCAGACUCCUACGGGAGGCAGCAGUGGGGAAUAUUGCACAAUGGGCGGAAGCCUGAUGAAGCAACGCCGCGUGCGGGAUGACGGCCUUCGGGUUGUAAACCGCUUUCGCCUGUGACGAAGCGUGAGUGACGGUAAUGGGUAAAGAAGCACCGGCUAACUACGUG